AAGGUUUUUGGCACAUUUUCAGAGGUGAGAGAGAAGGCAUAAGCAAUGAAGUUCUUGUUCCAGGGUCCUUGUUGUUCAUGUUUCUGCUUCAUGAAGCCCAAGCAGGGAAAACCAAAGGCAAAGGAAGCCAAGGUAGGUGAUUCCAAGGAAGAGAAAAAGGAAUAAUACAAUGCUGCUGGAAAAUGAUGGAACUACUUUCUACUUCUAGUGCUGGACUCUUUUCUUUUGCUGGUGCUCAAUUAAUUGUAUGUAGCAUUUUUCUUUAGUCCAUGUGAAAUGCUUCCGUCUUUAAUUGCAAGCUAUGGAAAAUAAAGUUUUACAAUUUAUUUUGCCUAAAUUUGACAAGAUGUAUGUGAUAUCAUGUCCAUUUUGUGCUUAUUUUGCUUGAUUGCAUUGCAUAUCAGUUUGUCUUAUGACAGUAGUGGAUCAGAAUGUGAAUCAGGUUUGAUUGAAGCAUUCUACAACAUUAGGUUUAGCACUUCUAAGAGGUAAACUUGAAAUUCAAUAAUCUCUUUUCUAUGUGCUUCUAAUUUAUAUUGUAAUCAUCUCAAAAUUUCUCACGAUGUUUAUAAUUUGGGUAGAUGCAAAAAACUAUGAAAUAUAAGCAACUCCAUUGCUUGCUGCCUCACCAGAUGGCAGCAGGAGAUGAAGAUAGAUGCUUGUUCAAGUUCAAAAUCCUUUGGAUUUUGUAGGAGCAGUUAAACAAUAAGACAUGAAUUUCAUAUGUAAUGUUGUUUAUCAUGAUGCUUCUUCCUAAUCUCAAUAAUAAUAAAAAAAUUAGAUAUGC
rnacentral:misc_RNA from 1 species